GACGAACGCUGGCGGCGUGCUUAACACAUGCAAGUCGAACGAGUGGCGGACGGGUGAGUAAUGUCUGGGAAACUGCCCGAUGGGGGGGGAUAACUACUGGAAACGGUAGCUAAUACCGCAUACCAUCGGAUGUGCCCAGAUGGGAUUAGCUAGGAGGGGGGGUAAAGGCUCACCUAGGCGACGAUCCCGCGCUGGUCUGCGAGGAUGACCAGCCACACUGGAACUGAUACACGGUCCAGACUCCUACGGGAGGCAGCAGUGGGGAAUAUUGCACAAUGGGCGCAAUCCUGAUGCAGCCAUGCCGCGUGUAUGAAGAAGGCCUUCGGGUUGUAAAGUACUUGCAGCGGGGAGGCGUUACCCGCAGAAGAAGCACCGGCUAACUCCGUGCCAGCCGCCGCGGUAAUUC
rnacentral:rRNA from 1 species